ACUUCCCCAAUGCUUACGGUACGAUGCUCCGCUGCGCCGUUCCGCGGCUCUUAGUAGGAUCCGUGUAGAAGGUUUCCACAUUUGCCACCCUCUCGAAGCGACAGCUGGCACGAGCGCGUUCGGAUGGGCGGCGGCGAGGACUCCGGCGAGCGGUGGUUGCGGUGGCUGUGGGAGCACGCGUCCAUCUUCCUCCUUCGCCCUCUUCUCGCGAUCUUGUUCGUCUUCUCUUUGAUCCUCCUGAGCUGGUUCGUGGCAUGGAAGACGGUGCUGGUUCACGUGCCCCUGGUUCAGGAGAUCUGCGGCCUCCGCAAGAAGCCCGUGAAGCCCAAACCCACUAAUCUCCACCGUAUCUCCCGCUUCUAUCACUCCAAUCCCUCUCUGAGGUUACUAAAUCAUUCUUAAAGAAGAAAAGAAAUUGUACCAGAGGUCUCCUUCCUCUUGAGUCACCAAUAUCUGGGUCCAUUCCUGCUUUAAGUAGUUCUUCAAGAAGGCAACUACUUCCAGUAGCAACUACAGUCAAUAGAUUGCAAGGCCAAGGAUGAGCCUCUACUCAAUUAGUUUGACCCUAGUCCAAGGAUCAGCAGCAGAGGUAUAUAUUAACUAACCUGAUUGCAAUCUUUUUGGAAUCCUGGACGAGGAGCUGUGUUCUUGGUUCAAUGUAAGCCACAAAGAAUGUGAGGAUGAUGUCGACGGCGAAGAAUGCAUGGAUGAUGUUAUCGGCAAUGAAAAGUCCUCCCUUUGGAGCAGCAUUCAUGAAACCAAUCUCCAGUGGGAACACCCAUGCAGAGUAGGCCACCAGCAUCACCAUGAACGUUUCCCAGUACCUGAAUGACAUCUCUUAGUUUCUCAAUUCUAUCACUCUUCCUCCAGAAAAGAAAACACAAAGUGAUCAUCACUGAGAUCUAUAAGAAUCGCCGGACAAUUCUUGACACAUUUCAUUUGUAUGUCUCUCUUAUCAACUAUAUAUUUCAUGCAGCGUGCGUUGUGAAGUACUACUGAUGAUUGCGUUAUUGGUUCUAACCUGUAUCUCGAAUCCAUUGGUGCAAUAACUCUUCCCUUGGGGUCAACCUGGGUCUGGUUGGAACUUGACACGCCCAAAGGAGGGAGGAUGAGCUCUGCAAGGUUACCAAGGAUGAAGGAUGUGGAGCUCUCAUCCUCGUGCUUGUUCCUUCUUGCAUGGCGUUCCUUCGUUGAGCUCUGGGCUGCGGUACUCGUUUCAAAGGUUGGACCUGCCUGCGUUGCCAUUUCAUGUGCUCGGGGAUAUAUAUGAUCCCUUGAUCUCACAGUGUGGCUUCCUACAAGCCAAGGAGGAGGAGGGCAACCCUAAUAAAUGGUGGAGGAGGAUGGACCUAUCGUGUGGGAGGGCCACUAUUUUUCGAGUUGAUUGCGAUGAUUGGUGAUGGGGAUAAGGGCUGCUGCUGCAUGUGGUGGCCGAGUUGUCUUGUUCGUGGCCAAGAUCAUUUUGUCCUCAUUCGGGCGUCCUUUCCUGGUUUUUAUUAUAGGAUGUGGCCGAGCCAAAUGCUGCUAUCUAUGUGGCUCGGCCAUGGAAAGCACACUAAAAAUUUCUCAGGUCUAUUGAUGAUUGUUACGAAGAUUGUGGGGGAAAUUGGUGGUGAACGACAAAUGAGUAUGAAAAAGACUUUGUGGCGGUGUUGCCGA